rnacentral:rRNA from 1 species
GUAAGGAAUAUUGGUCAAUGGACGAAAGUCUGAACCAGCCAUGCCGCGUGGAGGAUGAAGGUCCUCUGGAUUGUAAACUUCUUUUAUAUGGGACGAAAAUGGGGCUUUCUAGCUCAACUGACGGUACCAUAUGAAUAAGCACCGGCUAACUCCGUGCCAGCAGCCGCGGUAAUACGGAGGGUGCAAGCGUUAUCCGGAUUCACUGGGUUUACAGGGUGCGUAGGUGGAUUGGUACGUCAGAGGUGAAAUCACCGAGCUCAACUCGGAAACUGCCUUUGAUACUAUCAAUCUUGAAUAGUGUGGAGGUUAGCGGAAUAUGUCAUGUAGCGGUGAAAUGCUUAGGUAUGACAUAGAACACCAAUUGCGAAGGCAGCUGGCUACACAUAUAUUGACACUGAGGCACGAAAGCGUGGGGAUCAAACAGGAUUAGAAACCCGGGUAGUCC